rnacentral:rRNA from 1 species
GAAGUAAAAGUCGUAACAAGGUUUCCGUAGGUGAACCUGCGGAAGGAUCAUUAUUGAAUAAACUUGAUGGAUUGUUGCUGGCUCUUCUAUGGAGCAAGUGCACGUCUGUCAUUUUUAUCUUUCCACCAUGUGCACUAUGCAUAGACCUGGAUAACUUUAAUCAAAGUAUUUCUUUGAUUUUUGGAGAUUGCUGCUUAGCUUUCUCUGCGUUCAGGUUCUAUGAACUUUAUAUACACACCUGUAUGUCAAUGAACGUUAUAAAGGGCUUCUAUAGCCUAUAAAUUUAUAAUACAGCUUUCAGCAACGGAUCUCUUGGCUCUCGCAUCGAUGAAGAACGCAGCGAAAUGCGAUAAGUAAUGUGAAUUGCAGAAUUCAGUGAAUCAUCAAAUCUUUGAACGCACCUUGCGCUCCUUGGUAUUCCGAGGAGCAUGCCUGUUUGAGUGUCAUUAAAUUCUCAAUCUCUAUAUCUUUGUGAUGUUAGCGAUUGGAUAUGGGGGUACUUUGUGGGCCUUGAUUAGGUUCACUCCCCUGAAAUACAUUAGCUGGAAUGCCUUUGCAAACCAACUAUCAGUGUGAUAAUUAUCAGUACUGGAGUUGAUGCAUGAGGGAAUCUGCUAUCUAAUUGUCUUCUAGACAACCUGAAUAAAUUUGACCUCAAAUCAGGUAGGACUACCCGCUGAACUU